rnacentral:rRNA from 1 species
UACGUAGGGUGCAAGCGUUUGUCCGGAAUUAUUGGGCGUAAAGAGCUCGUAGGCGGUCUGUCGCGUCGGCUGUGAAAACCCGGGGCUCAACCCCGGGCCUGCAGUCGAUACGGGCAGACUAGAGUGUGGUAGGGGGAGACUGGAAUUCCUGGUGUAGCGGUGAAAUGCGCAGAUAUCAGGAGGAACACCGGUGGCGAAGGCGGGUCUCUGGGCCAUAACUGACGCUGAGGAGCGAAAGCGUGGGGAGCGAACAGG